GCCCGCAGCCGGCGGCGGAGCGGGAGGCAGGCGGCUGAGACGGGCGCGCCAUUUGCAUUCGCCCGCAGUCAUUUUUAUCCGCGGAGGAUUUCAAAGCCCCAAACAGAUCCACCCACUGAGGCGGCUGAGAAAAGGAGUUCGGCAGGUGCAGCGCUGUCAGGAGAUGAGACAAGCUAGACACACACCUGCUCUGAGACAGGGUACUUUCAGCAUCGAGCAACAGAAAACCUUGAGUCAACUUGCUAACCUCUGGGCUGACAUGGGGGCAGCCUUGUCCGGUGGGACCGUCUAAGAUGAUGGGAGUGUCCAGUACGGCAGCCACGAGCCACGUGUGGCCAGUGAGCACUUGAAAUGUGCCAGCGUGACUAAGGAAGCAUUGUGUUAGAGAGCUUCAUUCCCCACAACGUACCCACCCAGAUGCAGUGCUUCCUGGAAUGAACCAUGGUCUCCGUUUUUAUUCAAGUGAAAAUGGAUUGAAUGGGAAAACGAAAUAGGCAUGAAGCUGCCGGCCCUGAGGUCUCUGCUUGGAGAGAGUAUCUGAAUAACUGGGAGCAAGUGGGUUUCCAUAGACUUUAC
rnacentral:lncRNA from 1 species